rnacentral:rRNA from 1 species
AAACGACUCUCGGCAACGGAUAUCUCGGCUCUCGCAUCGAUGAAGAACGUAGCGAAAUGCGAUACUUGGUGUGAAUUGCAGAAUCCCGUGAACCAUCGAGUCUUUGAACGCAAGUUGCGCCCGAAGCCAUCCGGUUGAGGGCACGUCUGCCUGGGCGUCAUUC